rnacentral:rRNA from 1 species
GGGAACAUACCCUUUUCUACGGAAUAGCUCUGGGAAACUGGAAUUAAUACCGUAUACGCCCUACGGGGGAAAGAUUUAUCGGGGAAGGAUUGGCCCGCGUUGGAUUAGCUAGUUGGUGGGGUAAAGGCCUACCAAGGCGACGAUCCAUAGCUGGUCUGAGAGGAUGAUCAGCCACAUUGGGACUGAGACACGGCCCAAACUCCUACGGGAGGCAGCAGUGGGGAAUAUUGGACAAUGGGCGCAAGCCUGAUCCAGCCAUGCCGCGUGAGUGAUGAAGGCCUUAGGGUUGUAAAGCUCUUUCACCGAUGAAGAUAAUGACGGUAGUCGGAGAAGAAGCCCCGGCUAACUUCGUGCCAGCAGCCGCGGUAAUACGAAGGGGGCUAGCGUUGUUCGGAAUUACUGGGCGUAAAGCGCACGUAGGCGGAUAUUUAAGUCAGGGGUGAAAUCCCAGAGCUCAACUCUGGAACUGCCUUUGAUACUGGGUAUCUUGAGUGUGGAAGAGGUAAGUGGAAUUGCGAGU